UUGAUUUGGUAGAAUCAAUAGCAACACAGUUUAAGCUGAUUUUCUUCAAUUUGAUAUGUAUUCUUUUAGUUUUGUAGUGGUUAUAAUCGGCGUUUGUUUCUUUUUGUUUUGUAUCCAGUGUUUUGCGUUUUGAUUGGGUCCAGUUUGUGACGAGAAGAUUGGGUUGAAAACAAGUAGAACAGGUAGAGGUUCUGGGCGAUUGGUUGGGCUGAUUGGGAAAAGGUGAAGUUUUCUAAGGUUGAAUUGCUCCCAAAAGGCUUGGAAAUCUGGUUUCAAUUGCUCGCAAUAAGCUUGGAAAUCUGGUUUCUUUCACAGAAGACUCCAAAGUUGCAUAUACUCAAGAACUUAGGAAAACCAGUUUUUUAAACUUCUUGACGCAGAAGUUUGACAGUUUAAGGAUUCUGCUCCAAGCCUUACCUUUCUGGCAAAAGCUGAAAUCAAUUGGGAAGCACGAACAAACAAGUGGUGACUCUGUAUCCUCUACAUCAAAGGGGAAGAAGGUAGAUAAGAUAACUUGGAGAAAAGGAAGAGGGGACGGAAAGCUGUCAUGGUUUCGUUUUGAUUGCGCACAACAAUCGUGACAGGCAAUUAACCAAAAAAAAAAAAAAGUGACAGGCAAGCUAUAACUGGAAGAACCAAUGCCUCGAACCAGCUCCAACAACAACUCCAGCAUUUUGCGCAGCUUUUGCUAACCAACUCCAACAUUUUGAGCUGCUGAAACUGAAGCAAUCAACUAGAGCAUUUUGUACAGCGACAACUGGAGCAAUCACUGUUUUGAACAAACUCCAGAAGGAGCUUUUUCCAAGUCUUAUAACUAAACCAGCUAGCUCUUUGAAUAUACUGCAUGCAGCUGCCACUUUUACUAUGUUAAUAGCUCCAACUAAUGCACCCAGCUUUUUUAUACAGCUAUCGUUUAUGUAAAAUGUAUAAUAACUCUUUCACUAUUUCAAUAAUAUGUAAUUAUUUCCCUUUUGUA